rnacentral:rRNA from 1 species
AUAGGUGUGUGAGGCGAACGAGGGGAAGUGAAACAUCUCAGUACCCUCAGGAAAGAAAUCAAUUGAGAUUCCCUGAGUAGCGGCGAGCGAAAUGGGAUCAGCCCUUAAGUCGAUUAUGCUUUAGUGGAACAGUCUGGAAAGUCUGGCCAUAGUAGGUGAUAGCCCCGUACACGAAAGGGCAUAGUCGAUGAAAACGAGUAGGACGGGACACGUGAAAUCCUGUUUGAAUAUGGGGGGACCAUCCUCCAAGGCUAAAAUACUCCUGACUGACCGAUAGUGAACAAGUACCGUGAGGGAAAGGCGAAAAGAACCGUGGUGAACGGAGUGAAAUAGAACCUGAAAACCGUAUGCAUACAAGCAGUAGGAGCACCCAUGUGGUGUGACUGCGUACCUUUUGUAUAAUGGGUCAGCGACUUAUUCUCAGUAGC